AUGGGUGAAGAUACAGUGUCUGCGUGAAAACUAUGCUAACGGUACUCACAAUAUGCCCAUAUAGUAUAUAAUAUAUGUUUUUUGAUGAGCCUGAAAGAUUAAGUCUUACCUCAGGAACAGAUACGAGACAUACAAAU
rnacentral:snoRNA from 1 species